rnacentral:rRNA from 1 species
GACGAACGCUGGCGGCGUGCCUAAUACAUGCAAGUAGAACGCUGAAGGAGGAGCUUGCUCUUCUGGAUGAGUUGCGAACGGGUGAGUAACGCGUAGGUAACCUGCCUGGUAGCGGGGGAUAACUAUUGGAAACGAUAGCUAAUACCGCAUAAGAGUAGAUGUUGCAUGACAUUUGCUUAAAAGGUGCAAUUGCAUCACUACCAGAUGGACCUGCGUUGUAUUAGCUAGUUGGUGGGGUAACGGCUCACCAAGGCGACGAUACAUAGCCGACCUGAGAGGGUGAUCGGCCACACUGGGACUGAGACACGGCCCAGACUCCUACGGGAGGCAGCAGUAGGGAAUCUUCGGGAAUGGACGGAAGUCUGACCGAGCAACGCCGCGUGAGUGAAGAAGGUUUUCGGAUCGUAAAGCUCUGUUGUAAGAGAAGAACGAGUGUGAGAGUGGAAAGUUCACGCUGUGACGGUAUCUUACCAGAAAGGGACGGCUAACUACGUG